UACAGAGGUCCCAAGCGUUGUUCGGAUUCAUUGGGCGUAAGGGCGCGUAGGCGGCUUGGCAAGUGGAAGGUGAAAUCCCUCGGCUUAACCGAGGAACUGCCCUCCAAACUGCUUUGCUUGAGGCCGGGAGAGGUGAGUGGAAUUCCCAGUGUAGCGGUGAAAUGCGUAGAUAUUGGGAGGAACACCAGUGGCGAAGGCGGCUCACUGGACCGGUUCUGACGCUGAUGCGCGAAAGCGUGGGGAGCAAACGGGG
rnacentral:rRNA from 1 species